GCUCAAUGAUGAUAUAAAGGCUAAUGUGACUCGGCCAGCUGGGCUGCACCCUCAGCUCACUCCUGUCAUACGGGUCUGUAAUCUUGGUGGACGAUGCUGAGUUGUGCAUGUUCGCUGUAAGGGCAGACCGACAGAAAACCAACCCUCUUGCCCGUGUCCUUGCAGAAUACAUCUGUGGGAUGUAUCAGCUCAGAGCGAGUGUUUCUCUGAGCUGACGGAGGGCAGUGGGGAUAGGACAAGACAGCAUACCCAAGGUCUGGGUUGCAGGGGGCAGCCCAUGUUACAGCUGGUGAGAUGUGAGCACACAUCUUUGGUAAUCUGAUGACU